rnacentral:pre_miRNA from 1 species
AUGAUACUCCCUCCGUCCAAAAAUACUUAUCAUCAAAAUGGACAAAAAAGAAUGUAUCUAGAACUAAAAUACAUCUAGAUACAUCCCCUUUUAUUCAUUUUGAUGACAAGUAUUUCCGGACGGAGGGAGUAGUAG